rnacentral:tRNA from 1 species
GCUCAGUUGGUAGAGCAGCGGACUUUUAAUCCGUUGGUCACAAGUUCGAAUCUUGUACGUCCUACCA